rnacentral:rRNA from 1 species
UACGUAGGGUGCAAGCGUUGUCCGGAAUUAUUGGGCGUAAAGAGCUCGUAGGCGGUUUGUUGCGUCGGCUGUGAAAUCCCGAGGCUCAACCUCGGGUCUGCAGUCGAUACGAGCAAACUAGAGUGUUGCAGGGGAGACUGGAAUUCCUGGUGUAGCGGUGAAAUGCGCAGAUAUCUGGAGGAACACCGGUGGCGAAGGCGGCAUCCUGGACCGGUAUUGACACUGAGGCGCGAAAGCCAGGGGAGCAAACGGG